GGCUGGUCUGAAGGUAGUGAGUUAUCUCAGUUGAUUGUUCACAGUCAGUUACAGAUCGAACUCCUUGUUCUUUCCUUCCCCUUUUUCACUGCUGCUCUUGACUAGUCUUAA
ensembl:Y_RNA Y_RNA Y RNA